UGCUUGACCUGAGGAAAUAGAAAUACUGUUGACCUGUCCGAUUUUGGUCGGGAUUCAGGAACCCUAAAAAGUGAGCCAUGCCCAAAUAGAAAUAUCCUCUGACCAUAGUUCGCUCUUCGCGGAGACCACCGGCGAACCGUAGUCCCCAGCCAUAGCCACGAGCAAGGAAAGGAAAAAAAAGCAACGAGAAACCUCUCCAAGGUCCCAAUUUCCUCUCAUGGCACUCUUCUGCCCUGAAGGAUCGAGGCGUCAGCACAUCAAGUGCCAUGUGACACUUGUUGAAAUCUGGAUAUCAGUUGCUGGAGGAUGAAGCAAGUCAUCAAACCCAUGCUCAAGGGCUAUCUGUGCAGAAACAUACACUACACUUCAUACUGUCCUGGUGAUAGAAUUUCAAGUGGGUUGUUAACCUACCUUGUCUCAAACAAUCCCACCAUCAACCCACAACGCCUGCAGGUUUUGCAGUUGGGCGUGUUCUUGUUCCGAAAUAUGAAGUGGUACUUCUUCCCACAAACAGGGUGUCUGCUCCAGCCUAUUGGCGGUUCAAAAAAUGAAAUGACAUUAAUCUGCGUUCUAAUUUGUAAUUUAAACAGCCACCAUCAGCUUAUCAUUUACGCAGAUGCGGUCCAGGAACCCAAAAAAAAAUUAUGUUUAUGGAGGAAAAGCUUUCAGGGACAUUACAUAUCGGAGAAAAAAAAUUCAGGUUCAAUUUAAUCAAGUGAUAGCUUGGAAGAGUGGUCAUGAGAAUCAAUCAGGCAAGUUGGGGUUUUUCAGAUUCAAAUAUCAAGUUGAGAAUAAGUUGUUCAAAUCCGCAAAAUAUACAAGGAGCGUCUCCGAAAAAAGAUAAUAAGCCGGUCGAGAGAGUAUUUUGUCCA